rnacentral:rRNA from 1 species
AUUGAACGCUGGCGGCGGGCCUAACACAUGCAAGUCGAGCGGAUGAGUGGAGCUUGCUCCAUGAUUCAGCGGCGGACGGGUGAGUAAUGCCUAGGAAUCUGCCUGGUAGUGGGGGACAACGUUUCGAAAGGAACGCUAAUACCGCAUACGUCCUACGGGAGAAAGCAGGGGACCUUCGGGCCUUGCGCUAUCAGAUGAGCCUAGGUCGGAUUAGCUAGUAGGUGAGGUAAUGGCUCACCUAGGCGACGAUCCGUAACUGGUCUGAGAGGAUGAUCAGUCACACUGGAACUGAGACACGGUCCAGACUCCUACGGGAGGCAGCAGUGGGGAAUAUUGGGACAAUGGGCGAAAGCCUGAUCCAGCAAUGCCGCGUGAGUGAUGAAGGCCUUAGGGUUGUUAAAGACUCUUUUACCUAGGGAUGAUAAUGACAGUACCUGGA